UACGGAGGGAGCUAGCGUUGUUCGGAAUUACUGGGCGUAAAGCGCACGUAGGCGGCUUUGUAAGUUAGAGGUGAAAGCCUGGAGCUCAACUCCAGAAUUGCCUUUAAGACUGCAUCGCUUGAGUCCAGAAGAGGUGAGUGGAAUUCCGAGUGUAGAGGUGAAAUUCGUAGAUAUUCAGAAGAACACCAGUGGCGAAGGCGGCUCACUGGACCGGUAUUGACGCUGAGGUGCGAAAGCUUGGGGAGCAAACAGG
rnacentral:rRNA from 1 species